GACGAACGCUGGCGGCGUGCUUAACACAUGCAAGUCGAACGGAAAGGCCCUGCUUUUGUGGGGUGCUCGAGUGGCGAACGGGUGAGUAGCACGUGAGUAACCUGCCCUUGACUUUGGGAUAACUUCAGGAAACUGGGGCUAAUACCGGAUAGGAGCUCCUGCUGCAUGGUGGGGGUUGGAAAGUUUCGGCGGUUGGGGAUGGACUCGCGGCUUAUCAGCUUGUUGGUGGGGUAGUGGCUUACCAAGGCUUUGACGGGUAGCCGGCCUGAGAGGGUGACCGGCCACAUUGGGACUGAGGUACGGCCCAGACUCCUACGGGAGGCAACAGUGGGGAAUAUUGCACAAUGGGCGGAAGCCUGAUGCAGCAACGCCGCGUGCGGGAUGACGGCCUUCGGGUUGUAAACCGCUUUCGCCUGUGACGAAGCGUGAGUGACGGUAAUAGGUAAAGAAGCACCGGCUAACUACGU
rnacentral:rRNA from 1 species